UCUUCUGAUCUGUUUUGUUUCAAAAAAGGCAUGCUUUCAUUCCAUUUCAAAAGCAUAUCACAAACAGAAUACUGGUCCAAGCAAUUCUUUUCUGAGAGUUUGUGAGGGACCCAUACAUUAUAGUGAGAGAUGUAUCCUGGCUUCACUAGGUGUUCAUGCGCCAUACUUUUAGAAACUUCCAACUCUUCUGCAAAUUUUCUAGUUGUGAUAUUUGAGUUUUCUUUGAUUUUUUGCCAUCAAAGCAUCUUCAUCCAAUUUUGAAGAUCUUUCAAGCUAAACUUUCCAGCUUUAAAUUUUACAAACCACCUUCGAACAGUUGAUUCAGAUACAGCAUCAUCACCAUA